rnacentral:rRNA from 1 species
UGGGGAAUUUUUGGACAAUGGGCGAAAGCCUGAUCCAGCAAUGCCGCGUGUGUGAAGAAGGCCUUCGGGUUGUAAAGCACUUUUGUCCGGAAAGAAAUCCUUGGCUCUAAUACAGUCGGGGGAUGACGGUACCGGAAGAAUAAGCACCGGCUAACUACGUGCCAGCAGCCGCGGUAAUACGUAGGGUGCAAGCGUUAAUCGGAAUUACUGGGCGUAAAGCGUGCGCAGGCGGUUUGCUAAGACCGAUGUGAAAUCCCCGGGCUCAACCUGGGAACUGCAUUGGUGACUGGCAGGCUAGAGUAUGGCAGAGGGGGGUAGAAUUCCACGUGUAGCAGUGAAAUGCGUAGAGAUGUGGAGGAAUACCGAUGGCGAAGGCAGCCCCUGGCAAGUACUGACGCUCAUGCACGAAAA